AUUGAACGCUGGCGGCAGGCCUAACACAUGCAAGUCGAACGAGUGGCGGACGGGCGAGUAAUGUAUGGGAAACUGCGUGAUGGAGGGGGAUAACGACUGGAAACGGUAGCUAAUACCGCAUACCAUCAGAUGUGCCGAGGUGGGAUUAGCGUUUUGGGGGGGUAACGGCGCACCAAGGCGACGAUCCCUAGCUGGUCUGAGAGGAUGACCGGCCACACUGGAACUGAGACACGGUCCAGACUCCUACGGGAGGCAGCAGUGGGGAAUAUUGCACAAUGGGCGAAAGCCUGAUCCAGCCAUGCCGCGUGUAUGAAGAAGGCCUUCGGAUUGUAAAGUACUUUCAGCGGGGAGGCGUUACCCGCAGAAGAAGCACCGGCUAACUCCGUGCCAGCAGCCGCGGUAAUUC
rnacentral:rRNA from 1 species